CAUGUCCUUUUGAAUAUAAUUUAAGGUCUAAUCUGCCCACUGAAUAUUAAAUGGCCGCAGUAUUUUGACUGUGCUAAGGUAGCAUAAUCAUUAGUUUUUUAAUUGAAAGCUUGUAUGAAUGAUUGGAUGAAAUAAAAACUGUCUCAAAUUUAAUUAUAAAAUUUUAUCUUUAAGUUAAAAAGCUUAAAUUUAAUUAAAAGACGAGAAGACCCUAUAGAGUUUAAUAUAAAAUAUAUUAUUAAAAUUAUUAUUUAUGAAAUUUUAUUUUAUUUUUUAUAUUUUGUUGGGGUGACAAAAAAAUUUAUUUAACUUUUUUUAUAUAUUUACAUUAAUAAAUGAUUACUUGAUCCAUUAAUAAUGAUUAAAAGAUUAAAUUACCUUAGGGAUAACAGCGUAAUUUUUUUUGAGAGUUCUUAUCGAAAAAAAAGAUUGCGACCUCGAUGUUGGAUUAAAAUUAAUUUUUGGUGUAGAAGCUAAAAAAUUAAGUCUGUUCGACUUUUAAAAUUUUACAUGAUCUGAGU
rnacentral:rRNA from 1 species